ACUUGGUGAUGUUGACAUUUACAGAGCAGGUCCAUAAAUCUCUCCCACGUCUCGAAAAAGAGUUCCUCAUUCAUAUGUGAGAAACUUGUGAUGGCUCUCCGAAACU